AAAAAUAUUUAAUUUUUUUAUCCAAUAAAUAUAAAUUAAUUAGUUAAUUUUUAUUUUUUAAAUUAAAAUCCCUGUUUUGACAAAUUAAACUCUUUAGCCCUUAGCGAGUCAAACCGUAUGGGAGCCUCAAAGUAUCCUUAUUUUCUCUUGUAAUUCCUUCAAUCUCUCGUUGCUCGCUCUCUUCCCUAUUUCCCUCUUUCUGUACUUCUCUCAAUUGCUUCCCAAAUCCCUAGUCCCCCUUUUUCUUCUUAAACUUCAAAAUACUCUAGAAAUUGAAAUAAAUACCCAGCAAUUGCAGCAAUUACAGGUGACGACUUGCAUAACCAAACACAACACCUCCAUUUGCAGCAGCAUUUUUCAGCACAUCUUGACCAAAAAAAAAAGAGAAUGAUAACGAGGAGAUUGUUGUUGUUGGGCAAAGGGAAGCUGGGUUUCGUGGGUUAGCGUUGAUGGAGGGGUGAGAAUGUUGGUGUCAUGUGUUGAUGUUGAUAGUAACAAGGAGAUUGUUAGGAUCGAUGGGUCUGGAAGUCAAGAAGAGCUGAUGUUUUUACUGUGUAGGUCUAUGAGAAGGAGCUAAGAACUAGGUUUUAUUGAAGGAGAAAGAGAGCUAUGUGGCAUUUGAGCAGCUGUCGGUAAUAGGGGAGAAGAGGUCCGGUAUAGUGUUGAGCUAGAGGUGGUGAAGGCACUGUAAUUCACCCCGGAUAGUAUAGACUGGUGGCUCAAGCGGAAAAUGGUGAGGUGAAACUUGAAAUGAGGGCACUUGGUGGGACGUGAGAGAGGAAUUGUCUGUAUGUGUGUGUCACGGGGGCGAAAUUUUUCGCAACCCAAAAACCUCCCAACACUCGUGCGGCACUUGUUCCUCCAACA
rnacentral:misc_RNA from 1 species